CUCGGACUUCUCUUGAACUGAAUUUUAAUGUGCGUAUUGUUAUGCGUUUACUUUUCUACAUUGGCUAGAGGUAUAGGGGGAGGGUUGAGAUCUCACAAACAUGUUUAACCCCGCCGCAUUUUUGCGCCUGUCCCAAGUCAGGAGCCUCUGGCCUUUGUUAGUCUUGUAUUAUUUUAAUUUUAGUUUCUUGUGUAAAAUUUGGAAAUUAGUAUGGCGUUCAUUAUCAC
rnacentral:lncRNA from 1 species